AUGGAGGUGGUCAGUGCUUCGCAUGGCGUGCUGGGUCCCCUCCUGGGGAAGCUCACCGAUUUGCUUGCUCGUGAGUAUGCCCGUUUGAAAGGCGUCCGCCGCGAGAUCCGGUCACUCAAAUCCGAGCUGACCAGCAUGCAUGCAGCGGUUCAGAAGUACAUGACGCGGCAAGAUCCUGAUGUCCAGGUGAAGGCGUGGAUAUCGCUGCUGAGGGAGUUGACAUAUGACAUCGAGGAUGUCAUCGACAAGUUCAUCUACCAGCUCGGUAAUGGCGGCCAACAUCAGGGUGGCUUCAAGGAGUUCUUUCGCAAGACUGCUUGCCGGCUCAAGACGCUGGGCUCUCGUCGUGGAAUUGCCAACCAGAUUGAAGAUCUGAAAAUUCGUCUCAAGGAGGUAAAAGAGUUGAAAAGUAGUUACAAGCUGGAUGGUGUUCACUUUGAACAUUCAGCUGUGGAUCCCCGCUUGUCUGCUCUUUUUGUUGAGGAAGCACACCUUGUGGGCAUUGAUGGUCCAAGAGAUGAUCUUGCUAGUUGGAUGUUGGAAGAUGAAAGUAGCUCAACCAAGCAUCGCAAGGUAUCUCAUUAUUAUCGAUGA
rnacentral:rRNA from 1 species